UACGACCAUAUCACGUUGAAACACUGGUUCUCAUACAAUCACAGCGGUUAAGCAACGUCGAGACUGGUCAGGAUCUAGAUGGGUGACCGCUUGGGAAUACCAGAUGCUGUAAU